UUUCUACUCAUGUCAUAAAUUUAGAUAUAUUUUCAUGUACACAUUUGUUUUAUUAAAUCUCCAUUUAUAUCCUUAGCUCAUUCUUUUUCAUAUCAGAGUGUUCAUCUCUGUAUUGCUGUACAUAAGCUGCUUACUGAGGUGCCUGGCUGACUCAGGCAUGUGACUCUUAAUCUCAGGAUUGUGAGUUUGCACCCCACAUUGGGUAUAGAGAUUACUUAAAAAUAAAAUCUUUAGGGGUGCCUGGGUGGCUCAGUUAAGCAUCUGACUUUGGCUCAGGUCAUGAUCUCACAGUGCGUGAGCUCAAGCCCGACGUCGGGCUCUGUGCUGACAGCUCAGAGCCUGGAGCCUGCUUCAGAUUCUGUAUCUCCCUCUCUCUCUGCCCCUCCCCUGCUCACACUCUCUCUCUCUGUUGGAUUAUAUGGUAAUUCUAUAAUCUCUGUUGGAUUAUAUGGUAAUUCUAUAUUUAAAAUUUUGAGGAAUCAUCAUAGUUUUCCACAACAACUGCACCGUUUUACAUUCCUGCCAGCAAUGCACAAAUGUUGCUGUUUUUUAACGUCUUCAUCAACCCUUGUUAUUUUUUUUUCUUUUUAAAACAUUUUUUUAAUGUUUGUUUAUUUUUGAGAGAGAGAGAGAGAGAGACAGAGUGCGAGCGGGGAGGGGCAGAGAGAGACAGAAUCCAAGGCAGGCUCCAGGCUCUGAGCUCUCAGCACAGAGCCCAAUGUGGGGCUGGAACUCACCAAUCACAAGAUCAUGACCCAAGCCGAACUGACUGAGCCACCCAGGCACUCCUCUUUUUCUUUUUUUAAAUAGUCAUCCUGCUCAGUGUGAAGUGGUAUCUAUUUGUGGUUUCGAUUUGCAUUUCUUUAAUGAUUAAUAAUAUUGAUCAUCUUUUCAUGUGCUUUUUGGCCAUUUGCAUAUCUUCUUGGGAGAUACAUAUAUUCAUUUGCCCUUUUUAAAUUGGGUUGUUGUUUUUUUGUAGAGUUGUAGUAAUUCUUUAUAUAUUCUGGAUAUUAAUCUGCCAGAUAGAUAACCUGAAGCAUUUCCUUUGUUUCUGAGGGCCGCGUUUUCACUACAUUUAUAGUAACUGUUGAUAUACAAAGGUUUUUUUUAAUCUUGGUGAAGUCCAACACAUCUGUUUUUUCUUUCCUGUGCUUUUAGUGUUAUAUCCAAGAAAUCACUGUCAAAUCCAAUUUCAUGAAGAUUUCCUCCUAUGUUUUCUUCUAAGAAUUCUACCAGCUCUUAGUUUUGAUCCAUUUUGGGUUAUUUUUUGUAUAUGGUGUGAGACAAGGGUCCAGCUUUAUUCUUCUGCAUGAGGGUAUGCAGUUUUCCCAGCAUCAUUUGUUGAAGAGACUGUUCUUUCCCCAUCGAAUGGUCUUGGCCUCCUUGUCAAAAUCAGUUGACAGUAUAGUGUAUGGGUUUAUUUAUGGUCUCUCAAUUCUAUUCUAUUCAUGUGUAUGUCUAUCACUUAUGUCAGUAACAGUUUUGAUGAUAGCUUUGUAGUAAGUUUUGAAAUCAGGAUGUGUGAGUUCUCUAACUUGGCCAAUCUUUAAACAUGCCAUAUACAUUUUAUUCAGUGCUUGUUAAGUACAUGGCUUUUAUAAUAUGCUCAUAAGAUCAACAUAUUGAUCAUGCAAUUUCUAUCUGUUUGAACUUUUUACUGAGAGAUGUGUUAAAAUCUCCCACUAUGUGUAUGGGUUUGUCUGUUACUCCUUGUAGCUUCUAGCAUUUUUUUUUUGUCUCCAGGUCCAUUCAUUUUGUAACAUCCCAAGUAGCCCCAGCAUUAUUGCCUUUUCAGUUAACUGUUUCAUUUUUGCCCCAGUGCAGAUUUAAUAUUCUCAGAUACUCAGCUCUAUAACAUUUAUAGAAUAUCUAUCAGCAUUUGAGAUAAUUUUUCUAUUUUACUGAGCAUUUCCUGAUAUUUUGUAGGAUUUUUCAAGUUAUCUAGUCUGCUCCAAAUAGAAGUCUUCAUAUUAUUUCAUGAAGUCCUGCCAGAUUCUGUUUGUUUUCAGUGCCUACCUACCUCUGCCCCCUUUACUCUUAUUUCAUAGCUCUUAGUUGUAUGGCAUUAUAAGUGCGCCCCUAUUGGUCUUCCUUUCUAACUCAACAGGCAGAUCUUUGAAGGGACAUACAUUUCAGAUUCAUCUCCAUGUCCUCAGUAGAAGAGCUAUCUCUAGGUUAAAAGAAGGUUCUUGGUCCCAAAAUCCUGACAGGAAAUGAAAUCACAAAGUGUCAGAGGUCAUGAUUGGAACUAAUGCAAAUUUAGUAAAUAGUAGGCUCAUGGAAGAAGUACUUAAAAUAUUUGUUUCUGGGCUAGGUGAGAGAAGGGCCAAUCACAUGUCUGAAGGGGAUAAUUUGGGUCUAAGAGUUCACAGGAGUAUUUACUUAUCCCAAGCUUUAGGGCAAAAACCUUCAUCCUUACAGUGCCAAGGACUUAAGUCAUGUAUUUGGUUCUGUCAGGAAUUAAGGUCAGGAAAGGUUAAGGACAAACAGCCGAGCCUAGACCUCAAUCCUCAGACUCUUCUUUGGGUCUAGUUUCAAUUCUACCCUUUGUAAGGAAAAUUGUAACCCCUUUCUGCAAAUUUUGAAUGAAUCAGGAUAUGGCAUCUAAUAGGCUAGAGUUCUGUCUCCACUCUUGAAAGAACCUAGGGUUCCCGAGGUUGGAGGUAGCAGUCCAGAUUUGUGAAGUGUGAGUUGCAGAAUGGAAUUACUGUAAGUUGCCUAAUUAGGCGUGAUAAGUCAGCACCGUUCAUUCAUGGAUUGUAGCUCCUCUUUCUCCACCUGCUUCAAAGCAGUUUUCUGUUUCAACUUCCCAAAGAUAGACAUGGGGGACUAAUCAGUUUAAAAGCCAAGGAUAGCAGGCUUUGAUAAUUCCAGUAUCUUCUGCUAAUGCUCACUGCUUAUGUUUCCCAAGCUUAGAAGCAUUUAUUUUACUUAAGUUCCUAUUUUACAGUGUUCUAUAAAUUAUCUUAGCUCCUCUUCCCCAAGGAAGGUCUCAAAUAACAGCCACUAAUGCCUUUUCCUCCAAAGUUCAUGUAGUCUUCCAAAAUGUCAUUUAGCACUAUUUGAAUUGUUAAAAAAGCAGAAAAGCAUGUCCCUAAGGAGGGAAAUAUCAGUGUCUCACCCUUGCAGGUAUUGAAUCUUUGAUGAGGUGGGAAUAAACACUUACAUGGGAAUAUUUAUGUAAAUUAUUUGCUCUGUUUUUGGUUGAGGUGAGAUAGGAACAUGUGAUAGCUGUUUUUAGUAUACAACAACCUGGGUGAAUCAGUAGAGAUUAUGUUCGGCUGCAAGACAGAGACAGAACGACUGGCUCAAACAGGAAAAUUUUUCUGUCACCUAGAAUUCUGGAGGUGGCAGUCUAAGCCUGGCUUUGUGGCUCUGCUCCAAAGUCCUCCAAACCAUUUUAUCCAAAUCCAGGCAGCAGAAUGGAGACACGGAGUAAGGAAGAAAGGGAGAUAGCCAGGCGUGUUUAAGGAAGAUUUCCCCAAACUGCCACACAAUCUCAAUGGUCUCCACUUGGCCAUAACAGAAGAUCCAUAAUAAGGCGGGGGAAUCAUCAUUCUGAGUUAUGCACAUAAGCAAAUAAAGAAGUGGUCAUUCUUUUAUUAUGGAAGAAAGUGGAUGAAUAUAGGAGAUAAUUAGCACACUUGGCCCUAAUUCAAAUAUGAACCAUGGAAACCAUCUUCUUGGAUACCAGUAUUGAACAAAAACGCUAAGGAGUAAAUAAUUGAGGGGUGCCUGAGUGACUCAAUCGGUUAAAUGCCCAACUUCGGCUCAGGCCAUGAUCUCAUGGUUUGUGGGUUUGAGCCCCGCAUUGGGCUCUGUGCUGACAGCUCAGAGCCUAGAAUCUGCUUUGGAUUCUGCGUCUCCCUCUCUCUGCCCCUCUCCCACUUGUCCUCUGUGUGUCU